AUUGAACGCUGGCGGCAUGCUUUACACAUGCAAGUCGAACGGCAGCACGGAGAGCUUGCUCUCUGGUGGCGAGUGGCGAACGGGUGAGUAAUAUAUCGGAACGUGUCCAAUAAUGGGGGAUAACUAGUCGAAAGAUUAGCUAAUACCGCAUACGCCCUGAGGGGGAAAGUGGGGGAUCUUCGGACCUCACGUUAAUGGAGCGGCCGAUAUCUGAUUAGCUAGUUGGUAGGGUAAAAGCCUACCAAGGCGACGAUCAGUAGCUGGUCUGAGAGGAUGAUCAGCCACACUGGGACUGAGACACGGCCCAGACUCCUACGGGAGGCAGCAGUGGGGAAUUUUGGACAAUGGGCGCAAGCCUGAUCCAGCCAUGCCGCGUGAGUGAAGAAGGCCUUCGGGUUGUAAAGCUCUUUCGCAAGGAAAGAAAACUUACAUGUAAAUAAUGUGUGAGGUUGACGGUAC
rnacentral:rRNA from 1 species